AAAUGGUUAAAUUCAAUGGAGAAAAAGUUAUGCGGCUAUUGUUUUCCAUAGUAUCGAAAACAUCUGCCAGCACAUCAAAUAUUCGGUUUUGAUAAUUUUACUGCUUCUAAAUCAGCCCGCUUAUGCCGACAAAUUCACAGUCGAUGAACUGGAAGAAGAUCCGAGUGGCCAUCAGAUCCGGCGGAACAAAUUUGAAUACUGGCGGAACAGUCCGAUAAAAUUACAAACUCGUCCAGCAGUGAAAAAGUGCUGUUCCGCAAUCGAAAUGACACAGGAUGUGGAACAGACCACGGACCAAAUAAUAGAACGGUCCUAUAUAGUUCUAUUCCGAAUUAUGUGCUUAGAAAUUGGGUUCCAGAAAAGAUAACACCCGUUUAGAUUAAGAAACGUCAGCUACGAAUGAAUGGAUCUUCUCCGUGAACAGCCAGGAGCCCCGGAAAAUGUUCAGUGAAGGUGGAUUCGAAUUGAGCUUUGAUUUUUUUCUUACCGACAACCGGAUCGGCUGGAUGGUCACACUCAAGAAGUCAUUUUGAACUGCCGGAACAAAAACAUCCGGUAUCUUAACAUUUUCGUCGACACAUGUCAUUUCAUAUUUCAUAGUGAGCCGGUUACAAAGCAAACUAUUUUAACCGGGAGAUUUGAAUUAUUGCCCUAUAAUUUGUUGUUA